rnacentral:rRNA from 1 species
UACGUAGGGGGCUAGCGUUGUCCGGAAUCAUUGGGCGUAAAGCGCGUGUAGGCGGUCCGGUAAGUCCGCUGUGAAAGUCGGGGGCUCAACCCUCGGAUGCCGGGGGAUACUGUCGGGCUUGAGUACGGAAGAGGCGAGUGGAAUUCCUGGUGUAGCGGUGAAAUGCGCAGAUAUCAGGAGGAACACCAAUGGCGAAGGCAGCUCGCUGGGACGUUACUGACGCUGAGACGCGAAAGCGUGGGGAGCAAACAGG